CUUGACAUCCAGAGAAUUUAGCAGAGAUGCUUUAGUGCCUUCGGGAACUCUGAGACAGGUGCUGCAUGGCUGUCGUCAGCUCGUGUUGUGAAAUGUUGGUUAAGUCCGCAACGAGCGCAACCCUUAUCCUUUGUUGCCAGCACGUAAUGGUGGGAACUCAAAGGAGACUGCCGGUGAUAAACCGGAGGAAGGUGGGGAUGACGUCAAGUCAUCAUGGCCCUUACGAGUAGGGCUACACACGUGCUACAAUGGCGCAUACAAAGAGAAGCGACCUCGCGAGAGCAAGCGGACCUCAUAAAGUGCGUCGUAGUCCGGAUUGGAGUCUGCAACUCGACUCCACGAAGUCGGAAUCGCUAGUAAUCGUAAAUCAGAAUGUUACGGUGAAUACGUUCCCGGGCCUUGUACACACCGCCCGUCACACCAUGGGAGUGGGUUGCAAAAGAAGUAGAUAGCUUAACCUUCGGGAGGGCGUUUACCACUUUGUGAUUCAUGACUGGGGUGAAGUCGUAACAAGGUAAGCGUAGUGCU
rnacentral:rRNA from 1 species